rnacentral:rRNA from 1 species
ACUAGCAGUAAGAGUUUGAUCAUGGCUCAGAACGAACGCUGGCGGCGUGCCUAACACAUGCAAGUCGAACGAGAAAGGGGCUUCGGCUCCGAGUAAAGUGGCGCACGGGUGAGUAACACGUGGGUAACCUGCCUCUAAGAUCGGGAUAACCUGUCGAAAGACGAGCUAAUACCAAAUAAGACCACGGCUUCUUCGGAAGCAGGGGUCAAAGGUAGCCUCUACUUGUAAGCUAUCACUUAGAGAUGGGCCCGCGUACCAUUAGCUAGUUGGUGGGGUAACGGCCCACCAAGGCAAAGAUGGUUAGCUGGUCUGAGAGGAUGAUCAGCCACACUGGAACUGAGACACGGUCCAGACUCCUACGGGAGGCAGCAGUGGGGAAUAUUGGGCAAUGGGCGCAAGCCUGACCCAGCCAUGCCGCGUGAGUGACGACGGCCUUAGGGUUGUAAAGCUCUUUUGGCGGGGACGAUAAUGACGGUACCCGCAGAAUAAGCCCCGGCUAACUUCGUGCCAGCCGCCGCGGUAAUAC